rnacentral:rRNA from 1 species
GAUGAACGCUGGCGGCGUGCCUAAUACAUGCAAGUCGAGCGAACAGAUAAGGAGCUUGCUCCUUUGACGUUAGCGGCGGACGGGUGAGUAACACGUGGGUAACCUACCUAUAAGACUGGAAUAACUCCGGGAAACCGGGGCUAAUGCCGGAUAACAUUUAGAACCGCAUGGUUCUAAAGUGAAGGAUGGUUUUGCUAUCACUUAUAGAUGGACCCGCGCCGUAUUAGCUAGUUGGUAAGGUAACGGCUUACCAAGGCAACGAUACGUAGCCGACCUGAGAGGGUGAUCGGCCACACUGGAACUGAGACACGGUCCAGACUCCUACGGGAGGCAGCAGUAGGGAAUCUUCCGCAAUGGGCGAAAGCCUGACGGAGCAACGCCGCGUGAGUGAUGAAGGUCUUCGGAUCGUAAAACUCUGUUAUUAGGGAAGAACAAAUGUGUAAGUAACUGUGCACGUCUUGACGGUACCUAAUCAGAAAGCCACGGCUAACUACGUG